GUGUCCAGUCUGCAGAAACCAGUGUGUCCAGUCUGCAAGAACCAGUGUGUCCAAGAAUCCCCAACACCGAGCUGCUGGGUUUCUGCAGGGUUCCUAUCUGGUGACUGGGUCUAGAAGGACUAAACAACAGAGCUCCUGCUAAUAGAUCGUCAACAGCCUGACGCCCCAAACGUUUCUUUACCAGCAGAUCUGUGAAGAGCCCUGCUGCUACAAGCACCUUCACACCCAACUCAGGACCCUCCCUCUUUCAGAAGCAGCAACAUACCUUCACUCCGCUCUCCAGACGUCCAUCUAUCGAAACAGU